CACGAAGAAAAACACAAACAAAAAGUCACACUGACGACUUCGAUGAUUAGAAAAUAUCUAAAACAGUAAAAAAUCAAGAUAAAAACCCCAAAAUGAAGGCACAAAGAAAAAUACAAAUAGAAAUCUCUAUAGAAAGUUACUCUGAAGACUGAUGCUCCAAAGAAAAUUUCAAAAACUCUUAUACAUGUAGUUGACAAACUCAAAACAAUGUCACAAAGAAGAAGAAACAAAGCAGACAACACCAUUCACACAGAUAAACAGAGAACUAGGAAGGCAGUGCGUUGUGAAAUUUGCGGGGUUCCGCAACAAAACAUUUGGAGACACAUGAAAAAGUCGCAUGACACAGAAAUCGAG
rnacentral:lncRNA from 1 species